rnacentral:rRNA from 1 species
GACAGAGGGUGCAAGCGUUGUUCGGAAUUACUGGGCGUAAAGGGCGUGUAGGCGGUCAGGUCAGUCUGAUGUGAAAUCAUCAUCGCUUAACGGGAUGUCCGCAUCGGAAACUGCUUGACUUGAGUAUAGGAGAGGAUAACGGAAUUCCUGGUGUAGCGGUGGAAUGUGUAGAUAUCAGGAGGAACACCUGUGGCGAAGGCGGUUAUCUGGCCUAAUACUGACGCUGAGGCGCGAAAGCUAGGGGA